CCUACGGGUGACUGCAGUAGGGAAUAUUGCACAAUGGGGGAAACCCUGAUGCAGCAACGCCGCGUGGAGGAUGACGGUUUUCGGAUUGUAAACUCCUGUUCUGAGUGAAGAUAAUUACGGUUUCCUACGAAUCAGCCCCCGCCAAAUCCGUUCCAGCAGCCGCGGUAAAACGGAGGGUGCAAGCGUUUCUCCGGAUGACUGGGCGUAAAGAGGGCGCAGGCGGGCAUGUAAGUCAGAUGUGAAAUCCUGUGGCUUAACUGCAGAACUGCAUUUGAAACUAGGCGUCUAGAGUGUAGGAGAGGUAGGUGGAAUUCCUGGUGUAGGGGUAAAAUCCGUAGAUAUCAAGAGGAAUAC
rnacentral:rRNA from 1 species